AUGAUGUCGUAGCUCGCGGCUGAUUAUGAUGUGGGGUAUACAAGCUGA
rnacentral:snoRNA from 1 species